CCGUACAAAGGUAGCAUAAUCAUUAGUUUUUUAAUUGAAAGCUGGUAUGAAAGGUCGGACGAGAGAACGACUGUCUCAAUUUAAUUUAUAUUAGAAUUUUAUUUUUAAGUAAAAAAGCUUAAAUAAUUUUAAAAGACGAGAAGACCCUAUAGAAUUUUAUAUAUUUUGAAGUGAAGGUUUUUAAGUUAAUUUUUAUUUUUAUUAAAAAAAUGUAUUUUGUUGGGGCGAUAGAAAAAUUUAAUGAACUUUUUUUUUUUUAUAUCAUUAAUUUAUGAUUAAAUGAUCCAUAUUUUAUGAUUACAAGAUUAAAUUACCUUAGGGAUAACAGCGUAUUUUUUC
rnacentral:rRNA from 1 species